UACGUAGGGUGCAAGCGUUAAUCGGAAUUACUGGGCGUAAAGCGUGCGCAGGCGGUUAUGUGAGACAGUUGUGAAAUCCCCGGGCUCAACCUGGGGAAUUGCAUCUGUGACUGCAUAGCUAGAGUACGGUAGAGGGGGAUGGAAUUCCGCGUGUAGCAGUGAAAUGCGUAGAUAUGCGGAGGAACACCGAUGGCGAAGGCAAUCCCCUGGGCCUGUACUGACGCUCAUGCACGAAAGCGUGGGGAGCAAACAGG
rnacentral:rRNA from 1 species